rnacentral:tRNA from 2 species
ACCUGACUGGCUCAGUCAGUAGAGCAUGUGACUCUUAAUCUCAGGGUCAUGAGUUCAAGCCCCGUGUUGGGUG